UACGGAGGGUGCAAGCGUUAUCCGGAUUCACUGGGUUUAAAGGGUGCGUAGGUGGGUUGGUAAGUCAGUGGUGAAAUCUCCGAGCUUAACUUGGAAACUGCCAUUGAUACUAUCAGUCUUGAAUAUUGUGGAGGUCAGCGGAAUAUGUCAUGUAGCGGUGAAAUGCUUAGAUAUGACAUAGAACACCAAUUGCGAAGGCAGUUCACUACGGGAUCAUUGACACUGAGGCACGAAAGCGUGGGGAUCAAACAGG
rnacentral:rRNA from 1 species